AUGUGGGGGCUGGACGGGACAGAUCUGCAGGCAUCGCCGCCGCCACCGCGCAGCCUCUGCGGCUGCAUAUUCUUCUUCCCCAUCUCCAGCGACGCGCUCGAACACCUCAUCGAGCACACCACGGGUGGCACUUGCCGUGGAGGUCAACAUGUGUUCGUCAAAUAUGGCGAUCCAAGCCGCCUUCUGCUCGCUCGGCCGCUCAUGCCAUGUUCAAUCUUCUCCGUGCCAUCACCGGCUGCCUGGCGUUGCCGUCUUCUAUAUCCUGAAGAUGCGCCUCCACAAUUUCUUCUCACCGUAGUUCACAUGAGGGUCGGUUUGGUUGAGCUUCGUGAUGGAGAAAGUCUUGAAGCAAUCGAUUGGACUCGGUGCAGGUUCGAUUUCUUCCUGGUCUGUAGCCCAAUUGCUCCGAACCACACGCAAUUUGUGAGUAAUUUAGAUUGGCUGAACGUGCUUCACCGCGCGAAGCACCGCCCCGCACGUUGGCAGUCCCUACAAUCACGCAAGGGCAGGAAAAAAAAAGGAAAGCCAUCGCAAUCUGAUCCCCUCACUCGCUAA
rnacentral:rRNA from 1 species